CCUCUUUUAUGGGGUGACUGCGUACCUUUUGUAUAAUGGGUCAGCGACUUAUAUUCUGUAGCAAGGUUAACCGAAUAGGGGAGCCGAAGGGAAACCGAGUCUUAACCGGGCGUUAAGUUGCAGGGUAUAGACCCGAAACCCGGUGAUCUAGCCAUGGGCAGGUUGAAGGUUGGGUAACACUAACUGGAGGACCGAACCGACUAAUGUUGAAAAAUUAGCGGAUGACUUGUGGCUGGGGGUGAAAGGCCAAUCAAACCGGGAGAUAGCUGGUUCUCCCCGAAAGCUAUUUAGGUAGCGCCUCGUGAAUUCAUCUCCGGGGGUAGAGCACUGUUUCGGCAAGGGGGUCAUCCCGACUUACCAACCCGAUGCAAACUGCGAAUACCGGAGAAUGUUAUCACGGGAGACACACGGCGGGUGCUAACGUCCGUCGUGAAGAGGGAAACAACCCAGACCGCCAGCUAAGGUCCCAAAGUCAUGGUUAAGUGGGAAACGAUGUGGGAAGGCCCAGACAGCCAGGAUGUUGGCUUAGAAGCAGCCAUCAUUUAAAGAAAGCGUAAUAGCUCACUGGUCGAGUCGGCCUGCGCGGAAGAUGUAACGGGGCUAAACCAUGCACCGAAGCUGCGGCAGCGACACUGUGUGUUGUUGGGUAGGGGAGCGU
rnacentral:rRNA from 1 species